UACGUAGGGGGCAAGCGUUGUCCGGAAUUAUUGGGCGUAAAGAGCGUGUAGGCGGUCCGGUAAGUCGGCUGUGAAAGUCCAGGGCUCAACCCUGGGAUGCCGGUCGAUACUGCCGGACUAGAGUUCGGAAGAGGCGAGUGGAAUUCCCGGUGUAGCGGUGAAAUGCGCAGAUAUCGGGAGGGACACCUAUGGCGAAGGCAGCUCGCUGGGACGUUACUGACGCUGAGACGCGAAAGCGUGGGGAGCAAACAGG
rnacentral:rRNA from 1 species